UUGUAACUAUAUAUUAAAAGGGAAGUUGGGUUUAAAUCCCACGCGGUCCCGCCGCUGUAAUAGAGGAGCUUUUUGUACUUUAAGCCACUGGAAUAUAAUAUUUUGGGAAGGCCACAAAAAGUGAUGAUACUUAAGCCAGAAGACCUGCCUAUUUUUAA
rnacentral:ncRNA from 1 species